rnacentral:rRNA from 1 species
UUGGAGGGCAAGUCUGGUGCCAGCAGCCGCGGUAAUUCCAGCUCCAAUAGCGUAUAUUAAAGUUGUUGCAGUUAAAAAGCUCGUAGUUGAAUUUCGGGAUCAGUUGGUCGGUCGUGCCUCGGUACGUACUGGUCAAAUUGAUUCCUACCUUCUGACGAACCACGAUGUCAUUAAUUUGGUGUCGCGGGAAAUCAGGACUGUUACUUUGAAAAAAUUAGAGUGUUUAAAGCAGGCUCGCGCUUGAAUACAUUAGCAUGGAAUAAUGAAAUAGGACGUUUGAUUCUAUUCUGUUGGUUUCUAGGAUCGACGUAAUGAUUAAUAGGGAUAGUUGGGGGCAUUAGUAUUCAAUUGUCAGAGGUGAAAUUCUUGGAUUUAUUGAAGACUAACUACUGCGAAAGCAUUUGCCAAGGAUGUUUUCAUUAAUCAAGAACGAAAGUUAGGGGAUCGAAGACGAUCAGAUACCGUCGUAGUCUUAACCAUAAACUAUGCCGACUAGGGAUCGGAUGAUGUUAAUUUUUUAAUGACUCAUUCGGCGCCUUACGGGAAAC